CCUACGGGGGGCUGCAGUGGGGAAUAUUGGGCAAUGGGCGCAAGCCUGACCCAGCAACGCCGCGUGAAGGAAGAAGGCUUUCGGGUUGUAAACUUCUUUUCUCAGGGACGAAGCAAGUGACGGUACCUGAGGAAUAAGCUACGGCUAACUACGUGCCAGCAGCCGCGGUAAUACGUAGGGGGCAAGCGUUAUCCGGAUUUACUGGGUGUAAUGGGCGUGUAGGCGGGACUGCAAGUCAGAUGUGAAAACCAUGGGCUCAACCUAUGGCCUGCAUUUGAAACUGUAGUUCUUGAGUGCUGGAGAGGCAGACGGAAUUCCUAGUGUAGCGGUGAAAUGCGUAGAUAUUAGGAGGAACACCAGUGGCGAAGGCGGUCUGCUGGACAGCAACUGACGCUGAGGCGCGAAAGCGUGGGGAGCAAACAGGAUUAGAUACCCCGGUAGUC
rnacentral:rRNA from 1 species